rnacentral:sRNA from 1 species
GAUGACUCCAUCGCGGAUAUCCUCAGGA